UACGAAGGGGGCUAGCGUUACUCGGAUUGACUGGGCGUAAAGGGCGCGUAGGCGGUUCGUACAGUCAGACGUGAAAUUCCUGGGCUCAACCUGGGGGCUGCGUUUGAUACGUGCGGGCUUGAGUUCGGAAGAGGGUCGUGGAAUUCCCAGUGUAGAGGUGAAAUUCGUAGAUAUUGGGAAGAACACCGGUGGCGAAGGCGGCGACCUGGUCCGAUACUGACGCUGAGGCGCGAAAGCGUGGGGAGCAAACGGG
rnacentral:rRNA from 1 species